rnacentral:rRNA from 1 species
AUUGAACGCUGGCGGCAGGCCUAACACAUGCAAGUCGAGCGGAUGAAGGGAGCUUGCUCCUGGAUUCAGCGGCGGACGGGUGAGUAAUGCCUAGGAAUCUGCCUGGUAGUGGGGGAUAACGUCCGGAAACGGGCGCUAAUACCGCAUACGUCCUGAGGGAGAAAGUGGGGGAUCUACGGACCUCACGCUAUCAGAUGAGCCUAGGUCGGAUUAGCUAGUUGGUGGGGUAAAGGCCUACCAAGGCGACGAUCCGUAACUGGUCUGAGAGGAUGAUCAGUCACACUGGAACUGAGACACGGUCCAGACUCCUACGGGAGGCAGCAGUGGGGAAUAUUGGACAAUGGGCGAAAGCCUGAUCCAGCCAUGCCGCGUGUGUGAAGAAGGUCUUCGGAUUGUAAAGCACCUUAAGUUGGGAGGAAGGGCAGUAAGUUAAUACCUUGCUGUUUUGACGUUACCAACAGAAUAAGCACCGGCUAACUUCGUG